rnacentral:rRNA from 1 species
UACGUAGGGUGCAAGCGUUAAUCGGAAUUACUGGGCGUAAAGCGUGCGCAGGCGGCUAUGCAAGACAGAUGUGAAAUCCCCGGGCUCAACCUGGGAACUGCAUUUGUGACUGCAUAGCUAGAGUACGGUAGAGGGGGGACGGAAUUCCGCGUGUAGCAGUGAAAUGCGUAGAUAUGCGGGAGGAACACCGAUGGCGAAGGGCAAUCCC